GGCCUGAUGGUCUAGUGGUAUGAUUCUCGCUUAGGGUGCGAGAGGUCCCGGGUUCAACUCCCGGUCAGGCCC
rnacentral:tRNA from 1 species